rnacentral:rRNA from 1 species
GCAGCCGCGGUAACACCGGCAGCUCGAGUGGUAGCUGUUUUUAUUGGGCCUAAAGCGUUCGUAGCCGGUUUGAUAAGUCUUUGGUGAAAGCUUGUAGCUUAACUAUAAGAAUUGCUGGAGAUACUAUUAGACUUGAAGUCGGGAGAGGUUAGAGGUACUACCGGGGUAGGGGUGAAAUCCUAUAAUCCUGGGAGGACCACCUGUGGCGAAGGCGUCUAACUGGAACGAUCUUGACGGUGAGUAACGAAAGCCAGGGGCGCGAACCGGAUUAGAUACCCC